rnacentral:lncRNA from 1 species
CCAUGCGCAUUCAAAUUUGGGCAUGAGCACAUGCGCGGCAAAGAGUCGUUGCUAAGUUCGAAACGAGAAAAACGUGGCAUAUCACGACCUGCCAGCGUGGAUUUAAAAAGGUGACAGAAGAGAAAAGAUGAGGUAUACUAUAUAUUUCAACAUUUUUUGACAAUUUUUUGCGUUAGUGCUUAAUAGGUUAAUUUUGGACAGUUGUUGAAAGUAAAGCUUUUUUCCCAACGAUUACGAAGACAAGUGAGAAGCUUGAGAGUGCCUAGUUCUAAAAGGGCAGUGCUCGUGGUACGGUACGGAGUCCUUGACAAUGGAGGAAAUUAACCCUCAUCAGUGCAUCACCAGACUCAUCACGGGCAUUGGAAUUGGAAAAUUAGAUUGGAGAGACUCAAAUGCUGCACCACUUCUCCUGGGGAGAUGAUGGUGUGUCAUCUACACCAGACACAAUGCUGACAACCCACCAGAGGAUGUAAUAGAGUCCCAGAGAUUCCAAGAGAUGCAGACAGGGAUUGCUGGUCAUGUCGUAGCCCACUGCAGAUCAGUUCCUGGUUCAUGCAUACACAGCACUGUGGAUAACAUGAGAUAGAUGCUGUGUUACAUCGAGGAGAGAGAAGAACAUCGGGUAGUCAAGCAGGGCAACGUGGUUUCUGUCUGCUGAGGUAGUUGGAGGGGCACCACUGCACAAACUUAGCCAGCAUAAACAGGGUGCGACAAAGCUCAAAGAUUAGAUUUGCAAACAACUUUGCAGCACUGUAACAUGGUAAUUAAUGAGCAUCUUAGGCUUUUGGUUGAAACACAGAAAAGAUUGUUUUAAUUAAAGAUAACCCAAAUUUUGUAGGACUGCUUCGGUAUCAAUUGUUUAUUUUUGUCUCUGAAAAAAGCAUGCGUAUUUUAAGUUGCAUUUGCAAACUGUCCUUAACUGAACAAAUGGCUUAAUCCUAACAAUUACUGCUAUGCAUUCUGUAUGUAGAUGCACGUAAUGAUUGUGCGAUAAAUGUGUGAUUGUGUAACAGCGAUAAAUGGCCGUAUGGGGAGAAUCGUGGUUCAAAAUGUGUAUGGGAUGAUCUGCUUUUAGAGCUGGGAAAAAGGAAAAAGAUAGACCAAGACAAAAUAGACUUCAUCAGAAUAACAAAGAAAACCAGAUUAGAGACAAAUAGUGAUUAAUUCACCUUAAAAAAAACACAGGAGAAAACUUUGGUCAGGGAUCUUGACUUCUUAGAUGAAUGGUCGCUGAUAUUUUGAAAAAGAAAACAACUUGCUUAAAAUAGAAAAAAAAGUUUCACAAGGGAAUCACAGAAAAAAACACAAAUUCUAAAUUUCUCUAAGAAUAACAGGUAUCACUUCAACAAACAUGAUGCAACGUCGAAAAGUAAGGAAAACAAAUUCGCAAUUGACUUCAGUGAAAACUGUGGCUCUGACAGACGGCCCUGUCUGUCUACAAAGACAGUGGAAUGCACCAAGACGAAGUCAAUGUUUGCCUCUGUUGAGUUCAGAGCAUCCAUGGCCAUGGCUUAACCCUUUGACAACGGGAACUUUUUUCUGAAAGCCGACUCCAAGAAUUCCAGCCUCGC